rnacentral:rRNA from 1 species
AGUGAACGCUGGCGGUAGGCCUAACACAUGCAAGUCGAACGGCAGCACAGUAAGAGCUUGCUCUUACGGGUGGCGAGUGGCGGACGGGUGAGGAAUACAUCGGAAUCUACUUUUUCGUGGGGGAUAACGUAGGGAAACUUACGCUAAUACCGCAUACGACCUACGGGUGAAAGCAGGGGAUCUUCGGACCUUGCGCGAUUGAAUGAGCCGAUGUCGGAUUAGCUAGUUGGCGGGGUAAAGGCCCACCAAGGCGACGAUCCGUAGCUGGUCUGAGAGGAUGAUCGGCGACACUGGAACUGAGACACGGUCCAGACUCCUACGGGAGGCAGCAGUGGGGAAUAUUGGACAAUGGGCGCAAGCCUGAUCCAGCCAUCCCGCGUGGGUGAAGAAGGCCUUCGGGUUGUAAAGCCCUUUUGUUGGGAAAGAAAAGCAGCAGGUUAAUACCCCGCUGUUCUGACGGUACCCAAAGAAUAAGCACCGGCUAACUUCGUG